GAUGAACGCUAGCGAUAGGCUUAACACAUGCAAGUCGAGGGGUAACGUGUUGGAAGCUUGCUUCCGAUGACGCCGACCGGCGGAUGGGUGCGUAACGCGUAUGCAACUUGCCUCACAGUGGAGAAUAACCCGGAGAAAUCCGGACUAAUACUCCAUACACUCUUAAGUACGCCUGUACAUGAGAGGAAAGAUUUAUCGCUGUGAGAUAGGCAUGCGUCCUAUUAGGUAGUUGGUGAGCUAACGGCUCACCAAGCCGCCGAUAGGUAGGGGUGCUGAGAGGCAGAUCCCCCACAUUGGGACUGAGACACGGCCCAAACUCCUACGGGAGGCAGCAGUGAGGAAUAUUGGUCAAUGGAAGAAACUCUGAACCAGCCAAGUCGCGUGAAGGAAGAAUGUCCUAAGGAUUGUAAACUUCUUUAGCGAGCGAGUAAGGACUUCCACGUGAUGGGAGUUUGAAAGUAGCUCGAGAAUAAGUAUCGGCUAACUCCGUG
rnacentral:rRNA from 1 species